GGAUAUAGCUCGAGAUGAGCUUGUUAAAAGGCCUGAUAAUAUAUCUGUAGAGAAACUGUAGGUUAGGUUCAAUUUCACCUUUGCUAAUAGUGGCUUGAUGUUUUCCUAUUCUAUUCUCUCUUUUUAAAGAUUCUUUAAGAGCUGGGGAGCAGCUUCAGAUCCAUUUUAAUGUAUGAUGCUGUGUAAGAGUACAGUCUCUUCUAGACCUUGCUUUGUUGACCACAGCUGCAGCAGCAGAUCCUUGUCAUGAGGAAUUGACAUGUUGUGUGGAAAGAUCUUCUUUGCUUAAUAGAUUGGGGACUCUUAGUGAUCUGGAAUAUGGGAUGAAAAAUUUACUUUCUACUCCUGAAGUUCAGAAGCCUGUUUCUGAUGCUAAUGAUCAGACAGAGCCAGUAAGUGUCACUGGCCUAGAAAUGUUCCCUCUUAGUUACAAGGUAUGUCAUGUUCUUGCAUUCCUUUAUCAUUUUGAAUCAUAGUAUCCUCUGGGGAUAUUCUCUAGUAAUUAAAUUUUGGUACAAGAAUAGGUGCAAUGGCCGUUAUCCCUUAUGAUUUCCAAAAAAGCCUUGACAAAGUAUCAGUUGAUUUUCCAAUUCCUGUUUCAUUGUAAACACAUCAACCGCCAACUUUGUGAAGCAUGGCAAGUCCAUCAAGGGGUUCGUGCUUUUAACAAAUUGGGAACAGCCAUCUCCCGCUCUUCAAUGCUUUACUGUAGCAUGCUUAAAUUUAUUAUUAGCC